rnacentral:rRNA from 1 species
AGGAAAAGAAACUAACAAGGAUUCCCCUAGUAACGGCGAGUGAAGCGGGAAGAGCUCAAAUUUGAAAUCUGGUGGCCUCAGGUCAUCCGAGUUGUAAUCUAUAGAAGUGUUUUCCGUGCUGGCUCAUGUACAAGUCCCUUGGAACAGGGCGUCAUAGAGGGUGAGAAUCCCGUCCUUGACAUGAACUACCAGUGCUCUGUGAUACAUUUUCAACGAGUCGAGUUGUUUGGGAAUGCAGCUCAAAAUGGGUGGUAAAUUCCAUCUAAAGCUAAAUAUUGGCGAGAGACCGAUAGCGAACAAGUACCGUGAGGGAAAGAUGAAAAGCACUUUGGAAAGAGAGUUAAACAGUAUGUGAAAUUGUUGAAAGGGAAACGAUUGAAGUCAGUCGUGCUCUUUGGAUUCAGCCGGUUCUGCCGGUGUACUUCCUUUGAGUGGGGUCAACAUCAGUUUUGAUCGCUGGAUAAAGGCUGGAGGAACGUAGUACCCUCGGGUAAACUUAUAGCCUCCUGUCACAUACAGUGGUUGGGACUGAGGAACGCAGCACGCCUUUAUGGCCGGGAUUCGUCCACGUACGUGCUUAGGAUGUUGACAUAAUGGCUUUAAACGACCCGU